AUUGAACGCUGGCGGCAGGCCUAACACAUGCAAGUCGAGCGAGCGGCGGACGGGUGAGCAAUGUCUGGGAAACUGCCUGAUGGGGGGGGAUAACUACUGGAAACGGUCGCUAAUACCGCAUACCAUCAGAUGUGCCCAGAUGGGAUUAGAUAGUAGGUGGGGUAACGGCUCCCCUAGGCGAGGAGCCCUAGCUGGUCUGAGAGGAUGACCCGCCACACUGGAAGUGAGACACGGUCCAGACUCCUACGGGAGGCAGCAGUGGGUAAUAUUGCACAAUGGGCGCAAGCCUGAUCCCGCCAUGCCGCUUGUGUGAAGAAGGCCUUCGGGUUGUAAAGCACUUUCAGCGGGGAGGCGUUACCCGCAGAAGAAGCACCGGCUAACUCCGUGACAGCAGCCGCGGUAAUAC
rnacentral:rRNA from 1 species